CCUGCAGUGCCCCUGCUACUUCUGCGUCCUCUUCUCACAACUGUUGGAUCCCUCCUCGGCGCUAACGUCCCCCUAGGUGUCUCUUCCCGCAAUGCUGCAUGACUGUUUCCUGCCUCCAGCCACAGUCAGGCAGAGGGAACUCGCCUCCCCCAGCAUACACACAAAGCUGUGGCUGUGAGAAAAGGGAGAACUCACUGUACAGUGGAUACCAUGAGGAUCUGGACCAGCUCUUACCGCCAGCUUACACUGACCCCAAUUCUGUUGUUCUGCCUGUGAACUGGAAAAGACGUCACUAAAUCACUAAAUAUAUGUACGGACUUAAGUCUCCGUUUCCGGUUUCCUGACCCCGUGAUGAUCAUGGAUGGUCUGAGGCUGCCUUGGCGUCCCCCAGGGGCUCUAGAGACGGGGCUCCCACCAUCGAAGAACGUUCCUUCCACGCUCUGCUCCAACACAAAAUCAACACGAAACUGAGCCCUGCGUUGUAUGUUGGGUGGCUCCUGACUGCCUGCCUCAGGCUUCCCCUGUGUCCCUUUCUGUCCAACGUGGUCCCAGUGUCUUCUGAGUGAGGUUUCCCUCUAUAAACAGAUUUCUCAUUAGUUUGUACAACAGCCUGGUGGAAUAACUGUAUUCUCAGCCGAAAUUCCCAAUGCUGAGUGAGUCAUGCUGAAGAUCCUGCUAAAGCCAGUCUGAGCUGCUUUCUCAUGUUUACGGCCACAGAAAACUCAAGAGCUUAACUUGGGAGUCUGACCCGCAGUUAGCUGCAUUGACUGGGCCUUUGGGUCCUUGAUCAGUGGAAGGUUUAUGGGAAUGCUCUCUUCUUUUAAUUUUAAAACAUUCAAAUCCAUCCAAGAAUUAUGACUAAAACCAGGAGCCCGAGGUUAUAAUAUAAUCAGAAUUUCUGUGUUUUUCUGUGAGGGAGGGAAAGCAGGCACAUUAGAGCCACUCAAUAAGCACUAAAUAAAUCAUGUUCCCCGAGUCCGGCUCAGAGGGACCCAGCACUUCCUCUGCUAGGCCCAGCUGAUUGAUCUCUAUAAAAUUCUUAGCAAGCACUUACGCCUCAGCAGGAGCUCUGCUGGGAUGAAAUCAUGGAGUGCCUGAGGACAGCAUCUCUCUCCCCAUCCCCAUAGCAACUGUCCAUCUCCUAGGAACAGAAGG